ensembl:lncRNA
GCUAGUGCGCGUUUGUCCCAAGCGGCUAGUGCGCGUUUGUCCCAAGCGGCUAGUGCGCGUCUGUCCCAAGCGGCUAGUGCGCGUCUGUCCCAAGCGGCUAGUGCGCGUCUGACCCAAGCGGCUAGUGCGCGUCUGACCCAAGCGGCUAGUGCGCGUCUGACCCAAGCGGCUAGUGCGCGUCUGACCCAAGCUGCAGCACAACGGCCAGAGAGUGAGUUUGGUUAACAGAACCAGCAGCACACGGUGCUGAGUGCUUCCCCUCCACUGGGCAGAGUUGAAUUGGUGAUGGUGCUUCCUUUGCUCCCCUCCAUCCAGAGUUAAGCAGUCGCUCAGCGCCUCAUCUCGUCAGCCGCAGCACUUCCUCAGAUUCUGCCGCCAGCACCUCCAGUGACUCCAGUUCAGAAAACAGCGACUCCUGACGGCUGUAAUAUUUAUAUUUAUAUUUAUUUCUUUGUUUAUUAUCAAAAGAGAGCUCUGCGAAACUGUCGAACAUGCCUAUUUUCCAAAUGUUUAAAUAUUUAGGUAUGGGAAUUUGAUUGUACUCUGCCUUUCUCACUCAUUCCUUGUACAUCGUAAUAUCCGGCAAUGGUAUUUCUUAUCAGCGGUUAUAAAUUGAAUGGGGCAUAUUUCAUAACAUGGGAGUUUAAUAUCCUGUUUCUGUCACUCAUUUUGCCCGCGCUCUUUAAUUACAAGACGGGCCCUUUUCAAAACACGCCAUUGAAAUGAAGUAAUAUUCUUCUCAACAUCAUUUUUUGCAGCAGACCACUUUCUAUAGUAGCUCAUGAAGGAUGUUGUGUAAGAAACAACCUCAAGCACGUUGCACAGUUAUGAGGGCUGCUGUGCUGUCUGAGACCUUCAUGGUGACCAUAUAGUCAUGUAGUCUAAACCUGUACUCCGUAUCAGGUGUGGAGGAAGCAUUAUCUAUGUUUUGCUGUUCAGCACUAAAUGCAUGUGCCAAUUUUAUUUUCUACCUUUUUAAAAUAUUUUGUUUAUUUUCUUUGACUUCCACUUUUUUUGGUUGUCAUCCGCGAUAUAAAAUACUGCUCGUACACACUGCUAGUGUCGAGCCGUCCGUCAAGCAGUAAUCACCUCUGUUGAAUGUUUGGGGCAUAAUGCAGAGCUGUAAGUGUGUUUCCCCCCCCAGGCUUCCUAACAUGGUAUGGAAGUCAACUUGAGUUCAUUGAUGUAAACAUCAUGCCUGCUGUUCUUCACGCCCCCCCCUACCCCCCCUUCCCUGUUGCACGCCGUUUCAUUGCUGCUUUUUCAAACCUGUUAAAACGCUAACAACCUACUUUGUGUUUAAGUCUCUAGAUAUCCAAAAUGCCAUCUUUAUAUUAACGCUUUAUAUGCUCUUGUUUCCAACUAUGUUUUUUUUUUACUAUUUGGUUGCUAAUAAUAAUGACAACAUUUGUGAUCAAAUAAUAUUCCAUUUACUGUUUUGUUACGUUAAUAAAAGUAAAAGCACAAAGGUGUCGAUGUGUUUGUUCAGCAUACGUAGUGUGUUUGUGUCCGUGGGGCGCUGACAUGGUGGCAGAGAAUAUAAACUGGAGAUCUGUGUGAGAGCUGCAGUUCAGUGGAUCAACCAGCAGGUGGCCCUCGUGCACUACUCUUAAUAUACUUUGAUGACUUGUUGUGGUUUGGCUGUGGUAUUUAAUACGUGGAUACUGCAGUCAGGAUCGAUUUAUAUAGCCCUUAUGCAAAUCUCUAUACAUGUAUUUCAUUAUCACUAUUAAAACAAAGCUUGGUGAUUUCCAUCAAAGACUAAAAAGUAUUUUUGAAAGAACAUGAAUUUAAGGGGAGACAUUUUGGGCCAAUCCCAAACUUCCGGCAAACCCCGUGAGGGUUUGGGUCCGUCCCACUGUCCCGCUGGCGAGUGUUAGUGGGCUCUCGGCUAUUUUGAGUACCCUAUGAACCCUUUCUGCUCCAGAGAAUUACCCACAAUUCAUUGCAAUGUCACAUUAAAAAUGGAUAACCAGUGACUGCAUGGAGACCGCAAAAGUGCCGUCGUCUUUUGGUUACCUUUUUUAUGUUAGUCAUAUUAAAAUGUAUACGUUUAAAGCAUUAAGAUGGAGAAGUAAAUCAUGCAUACUUUAUUUACUCAGUUCUUCGUCAAAUAUUUAAUUUUGUCAUUCAAGCUAUUUUGACGGAAAACAGUAUAACAUUAUUUUAAAUGACCUCUUAUGAGGACAUAGCCUGGAAGAUGCACAUCAAAGAAUGAAAAGUGUGAAAUAAAUACGCUCAAUUGAAAAUUGUAUUUAGAUGUGGCAGCAGUGCUGUCCCAUUUAUAUUUACACCAUUUCAAGCCCUCGCUCUCACUCAACCCCUUAAACCACCGUUUAGCGCGUGACCUCAGUGAGGUCCCUGGGGGUUCAGGGUCAGGGUGGACAUUGGGACCGGAAUAUUGCUUUUCAUACCUUGGUCAAUUUUGCUUUUAUUUCAAUGUCCUCUCAGACUUGUAGAAAAUGAACAUCCAAAUGACAUAUUUAGCUGUGUAUUUGACUAAUUUUAUCCUUUAAGUUCUUGAAGAUUAGCAUGAAAUGAUGCCUUAUUUGAAUAUUUGAACACAAAGUAUUAGCAAAUGUAAUCAUCCCACUGGGGAAGUUGCAUGGUGGUGUCUUUAGUUUAAUACCUGAAGUGUCUUGCAAAAUGCCUGCGAUUUUAUUAAACAUAUGUUUAAAGACCAUAUACUUUAAAAAAAGAUCUCUCAGACCCUUGAGAAAUAAAUCUCCUCUUCAGCUGCUGCGGGUAUUCCAGAUGUGUUAUUGAGGGCUUUGUUCAUAUAUCAUUCACAGCCUAAAUUCUAAUAGAUUUGAUCAAAACAUGGCAAAAAAAACAAUUUUUCCAUUGCUCUUGAAAGUAUUUGUCGAGUGAUACAAAUAUAUCUUAAAUUCCAGUUGUAUAAGCAUUUGACUUCUAUAUCAACACAAUUUAUUUAAUUGUAAAAAUGCUGAGAUCCACAUAACAAGGCAAAUAAACAAAUUCCUUAUUAAGAGAGGCCUGUUUAACGUCAUUUGAGCCACACAAACGAGCAUGAGGCACACAUAUAUCUGACUCUUCCCUUGAAGUAAAACAUUUCAACCCUGGACCCUUCCUACUACACUUUUGACAGGUCGUAGUUUUACUUCACCUUAUUGGGAGUAUCUGUAUUUGAGGUGUGUGGAGGAGCACACAGAAAGGGGGACAGACAUUCCUCACUUGACGGAACGUGCUCAAGGUUUUUCUUACUAAAGAAUAGUGCAUAUUAGCCGUGCAUCAGUGCUGGGCCCCGACCACACAUGCCAUUUGUAUUUUUCCCCUGUUCUUGCGCUGCGUGAUUGAUCAACGCCGCGACUUCAAUGACAACAAGUCAUUUCUGCCACUUGAGUUCAUCGCUCAUGACGCAUGGAGCCGAUAAAAGGACCACACGUAUGCAGCCCUGCAGCCACAUUGGACCAGUCUGUGUGUGUGAGUGUGGGUGUGUGUUCGCUUUGAUUAAUGGAUCCCUGGUUUUCAUUUUAGUUUCACCAACUCUUGGAAGAACAUUCAGUGCAAAAAAACAAAAAACAGGCAGUACAUUUAGAUCAAAGUAUGUAGAGCGACCUGCACAUGUUUACACUUCUGUUCGGUGAGGUACGCAAAACUAAAAUACAUCAAGAAUCUUAUUUGCCGGCACUGUUAACAGUUAAAGUAAAUGCCCUCUCUUUUGUUAAUGCUCAAUUGGUAAAAUAUAUAUAUAUAUAUAUAUAUAAUGCAUACUAAUAUAAUUUAAAACCAUUAUAUAUCCAAGGAGAUUGCUGAGUGUGUGGUUUUGCAGCGCUGCACUGCAUCACAUACAUUUUGCAUGUGCAUUCGUUUUCCCUAGAUUUAUACUCGGCAGUAUUCCUGGAUCAGCUAAUGGCCAACCUACCUGUCGCCCCGUCUCUCUGCCAUUUAGGUCCUGGGCAGGUUUUUUUUUGUUUGUCGCUUAUGAUUUUGUCGGCAUAUCUGCGUGUUCCAGUGGGAACAUCUAGCAAAGCUGUUCGAUCACGCUUUUGCCUUUUUAUCCAUCUUGCUCUGGAGCAAGUACUCCAUGGUGACUUUCAGUCUGCUGGUUGCUGCUACUCCAUCCGGGGGCUCACAGGCCUGAGGAUGAACACAGCCUGCCCUGGUGAAUGUACCACAGGGUCACCGUGAACAAAAGCAAAAGCGCCCCCGGGCCCCACAGGCUGUCAUGCACUCACCUCGCCAGCAGAUGUGUGAAACUGCAGGAGAAGGCUAUUCUGAAGGUGUGUGGUACGCGGGAUGUGAAUGAUACAAUGCCUGUGCUGAACGGGGUUCUGUUUAAAAUGUUGACUUACUAAGUGAACAUUGUUGAAGUGCAGGCUUGUACCUCCGGGUCACCGAUGAUGGGCGGCAGCUAUCAUGGGAAACGUUGCGCUGAAGUGCAGCCAGCACUGUCUCGAAACACAUUCCCUUUCUAAAGAAACUCAUGACAUCAGACAGCGCCGCUCUAUUUUAUGCCCGGAGAUGAAUUUGCCAAAUGUGUUACAUCCCAGAGGAAAUGUGAAGGUGAGCAGGGACGAUUAUGACUGAGGUUGGCCGGGUAAUGAGACAUGACACAGAGGGUUUAACAAGAAACAGGUGGCGUAUUGAUUCUAGUGACAAUAAAGUGAUUAAUUGACCAAUUUAGAUUAUUUUCCUAACAAGGGCUGACAUUGGUUAAUCUACUGAAGACCGGGAAAGAAAAAUAAGGGAACAGCAAGAUUUUAAAAAAAGGAACAAAAUGAAAUGUAAUGUCUCAAAAUGGCAGAGGACACUUUAAGAAUAACUGGUGCUGUUUGUGACUGCGUCCCGUGAGCGAUGCUGAAUGAGAGCGGUGCGAGUCGAACCGAUAGUUUGAGCAAAAGAAACCAUUUAGUUGAAGGAUGCUGAAAUGCUGAGCGAAAACGGAGCAGACGUGCCGAUUCUGUGAUAUUUCUCGCACUACGAGCGGCACCUUUCACGGUAAAGUUGAGCAUGUAAUGUCACUGGUUUGAAGGCCCAAAUCAACCCAUGCAAUUCUCGGAGAAUAACUUCCAUUAGCCAAAUCUUUUCUAUAAGUUAUCAUAGCAAGAAAAAAAACAAAAGUCAAAGUAAUGAAAAAAGCAAAAACCAAACACAGGUAUGAUUAGGACAACAUGGAAUCCAUUUACCUCAUGAGUAGACUGGCCUACAGAUUAGAUUAAACAUUCAUUAAUAAAUAAUAAAUGCAUUUCUAUUACGUCCCUCCCACGGUCCAUCAACAGUAGUACCUGAGUGGUUUGUGAGGAUGCUUCAUAAUUACCGUAAAAUGUCAGUCCAGCAGUUUAUUAAUGUGCAUUAUGUUCUGACUUGCAAGAUAAGUGAAACUUUUACGAUGAAACUGUGAAAAUUGAAGCAGCAGAGGCCUAUGUAUCCUGAUUUAUCGGUUAUACGGGUAAAUACCUGGAAACGGUCGAUCCUACAUUUCCCAUAAUGCAACUCAGAUCUGUUUUAUAGUCAUUCCCUUGCCAACGCCUUUUAAACGCAUUUUUUUUAAAUCUGGAUGUGUGUUUUGUUGUUGUUGUUGUGCCCGUGUAGGCCGACGUGUUAUGGGCCAUGACACAAUAUAGAACUGCCCCUUUAAUAAAAGCCCACAACCCAUAAUCCUUCAUUUAAUGCAACAACAUACACGUUCCCCACAGUCACUGCGAACGGACACCGGGUCAACAGUCUGUCCCACAACGUGUCCCCGCAUCCCGCAUCCUGCGAGAAGCCUGGACGCUGUCUCCUCGGUGGACGUCCCCGUGGGAGAGGGAGACAAGGAGAGAGGGGGGGGGG